GUGGGGAAUUUUGGACAAUGGGCGCAAGCCUGAUCCAGCAAUGCCGCGUGCAGGAAGAAGGCCUUCGGGUUGUAAACUGCUUUUGUACGGAACGAAACGGUCCGGGUUAAUACCCUGGGCUAAUGACGGUACCGUAAGAAUAAGCACCGGCUAACUACGUGCCAGCAGCCGCGGUAAUACGUAGGGUGCAAGCGUUAAUCGGAAUUACUGGGCGUAAAGCGUGCGCAGGCGGUUUUGUAAGACAGGCGUGAAAUCCCCGGGCUCAACCUGAGAAUUGCGCUUGUGACUGCAAGGCUGGAGUGCGGCAGAGGGGGAUGGAAUUCCGCGUGUAGCAGUGAAAUGCGUAGAUAUGCGGAGGAACACCGAUGGCGAAGGCAAUCCCCUGGGCCUGCACUGACGCUCAUGCACGAAAGCGUGGGGAGCAAACAGGAUUAGAAACCCCGGUAGUCC
rnacentral:rRNA from 1 species